GGCGCCGCUCUCUCAGCCAUGGCCGCCGCAGCAGCAGGCUCCUGCUCCGAGCAUCCAGAGGGAUUCAGGAAGCCGCCGGGAAGAAGGAAGUGGAUCCAAGGGACCUAGCACCGUAAUUAGCCCAGUUUUGGUUAAUUAAGGCUACCAAGGCCUCAGCCCCUCGUCUCCCAGGGCUGAAAUUCCACGGGAAUGCCGUGACAGACACGGAGCUCCAUCCUGGCAGGAGUUACUUGUCCACCGCUGCCCAGGUUCCCUGUGAGGUGCUCCAGAUGGAUUGAGGAAGCGGGUGGAAGGCUGUUGUCGCCGUAAUUGACGCUGUAAUUAGCGCCGCUCUGGUUAACGAGCAGCAGGAGGUGCAUGCUGGGUGUCACCUGCCCUUCCUGGCCGUGCCCUUGUCCCUCAGGGCCGGAGCAGCGGGCAGGCUCCCUGUGGAAGCGCCAGGAGGAGUGGGCGACACCAGAGUCGGAAUUAAACAUGAGCCCGUACUUCUAA